rnacentral:lncRNA from 1 species
CUGUGAGCUGGGCAGGUUGGCCAGGGAAUAAGGAGGAGGAGACUGCUUACUUAGCAUCAGUCAAGGUUGAGGGGCCAUGGGCCAAGACAUCUCCACUUGCAUGUCCCAGAGACACCCAGGUUGACAAGCAAGCGCCCCUUGUUUGGGAGAGAAACCUCCAUCCACUGCAGAGGGCUCACAUAAGACCUCCUCCAUCAGGCUCUUCUGAGGAUCAAUGGAACUAUGACGGCAUGUUCAGCACCCUGCCCCAAGGACAAACUCUCUCCUUACUUGCCUCAUUCUGCUCUGAGUCAGAGGAAUGGCCCAAAUG